GGCAAGAUGGCCGAGCGGUUAAGGCGGAAGACUCAAGAUACUUGUAUCCUUACCUGUAAAAACAGGUUGUAUUCUUCUGGGGCAACCCGCGCGAGUUCGAAUCUCGUUCUUGUCA